GAUGAACGCUGGCGGUCUGCUUAACACAUGCAAGUCGAACGGGGGUAGCAAUACCUUAGUGGCGGACGGGUGAGUAACGCGUGAGAAUCUGCCAAAAGGUUCGGGACAACAGUGGGAAACCGCUGCUAAUACCGGACAUGCCGCAACGUAAAAGGAGAAAUCCGCCUUUUGAUGAGCUCGCGUUUGAUUAGCUAGUUGGUAGGGUAAGAGCCUACCAAGGCGACGAUCAAUAGCUGGUCUGAGAGGACGAUCAGCCACACUGGGACUGAGACGCGGCCCAGACUCCUACGGGAGGCAGCAGUGGGGAAUUUUCCGCAAUGGGCGAAAGCCUGACGGAGCAAGACCGCGUGAGGGAGGAAGGCUCUUGGGUUGUAAACCUCUUUUCUCAGGGAAGAAGCUCUGACGGUACCUGAGGAAUCAGCAUCGGCUAACUCCGUGCCAGCAGCCGCGGUAAUACGGAGGAUGCAAGCGUUAUCCGGAAUCAUUGGGCGUAAAGCGUCCGCAGGUGGCAAUUCAAGUCUGCCGUCAAAUCCAGUGGCUCAACUACUGACAGGCGGUGGAAACUGAAUAGCUAGAGUGCGGUAGGGGUAGAGGGAAUUCCCGGUGUAGCGGUGAAAUGCGUAGAGAUCGGGAAGAACACCAGUGGCGAAAGCGCUCUGCUGGACCUGCACUGACACUGAGGGACGAAAGCUAGGGGAGCGAAUGGGAUUAGAUACCCCAGUAGUCCUAGCCGUAAACGAUGGAUACUAGGUGUGGCUCGUAUCGACCCGAGCCGUGCCGCAGCUAACGCGUUAAGUAUCCCGCCUGGGGAGUACGCACGCAAGUGUGAAACUCAAAGGAAUUGACGGGGGCCCGCACAAGCGGUGGAGUAUGUGGUUUAAUUCGAUGCAACGCGAAGAACCUUACCAGGGCUUGACAUGUCGCGAAUCUUUUUGAAGGAGAAGAGUGCCUUCGGGAGCGCGAACACAGGUGGUGCAUGGCUGUCGUCAGCUCGUGUCGUGAGAUGUUGGGUUAAGUCCCGCAACGAGCGCAACCCUCGUUUUUAGUUGCCAAUAUUAAGUUAGGCACUCUAAAGAGACUGCCGGUGACAAACCGGAGGAAGGUGGGGAUGACGUCAAGUCAGCAUGCCCCUUACGUCCUGGGCUACACACGUACUACAAUGCUUUAGACAAAGGGCAGCCAAGCCGCGAGGCCGAGCUAAUCCCAUAAACUAAGGCACAGUUCAGAUCGCAGGCUGCAACUCGCCUGCGUGAAGGCGGAAUCGCUAGUAAUCGCAGGUCAGCAUACUGCGGUGAAUACGUUCCCGGGCCUUGUACACACCGCCCGUCACACCAUGGGAGUUGGUCACGCCCGAAGUCGUUACUCCAACCCGCAAGGGAGGAGGACGCCGAAGGUGGGACUGAUGACUGGGGUGAAGUCGUAACAAGGUAGCCGUACCGGAAGGUGUGGCUGGAUCACCUCCUU
rnacentral:rRNA from 1 species